rnacentral:rRNA from 1 species
CGAACCGUGCGAACGUUGUUCGGAAUCACUGGGCUUAAAGGGCGCGUAGGCGGCUUGCCAAGUCGGGGGUGAAAUACUUCAGCUUAACUGGAGAAGUGCCUUCGAUACUGGCAGGCUUGAGGGAGGUAGGGGUCUGUGGAACUUCUGGUGGAGCGGUGAAAUGCGUUGAUAUCAGAAGGAACGCCGGUGGCGAAAGCGACGGACUGGACCUCUUCUGACGCUGAGGCGCGAAAGCUAGGGGAGCAAACGGGAUUAGAUACCCCGGUAGUCCUAGCCCUAAACGAUGGGUACUAGAUUGUGGACUUGACAUGGGUUCACAGUCGAAGCAAAAGUGUUAAGUACCCCGCCUGGGGAGUAUGGUCGCAAGGCUG